rnacentral:rRNA from 1 species
UACGUAGGGUGCGAGCGUUGUCCGGAAUUAUUGGGCGUAAAGGGCUCGUAGGCGGUUUGUCGCGUCGGGAGUGAAAUCCACUGGCUUAACUGGUGGCUUGCUUUCGAUACGGGCAGACUGGAGGUAUGCAGGGGGAGAACGGAAUUCCUGGUGUAGCGGUGAAAAUGCGCAGAUAUCGGAAGGAACAUCAGUGGCGAAAGC